AUCCAGAUGACGAGUCCCAAAUAAGAAAAAACGCGCGUUCUGGAU
rfam:Schistosoma margrebowiei strain Zambia genome assembly, scaffold: SMRZ_contig0000405